GAUGAACGCUAGCGGCAGGCCUAACACAUGCAAGUCGAGGGAUAAGCCUUCUUGCUUAGACCGGCUCACGGUUGCGUAACUCGUAUACAAUCUGCCUUUUAUCCGGUUGUUAUCCCGUAGAUCUUUGGAUUAAUACCCUAUGGUAUAAGAGCACGGCAUCGUUCACUUAUUAAAUCUACGGCGUUACAAGAUGAGUAUGCGUUCUAUUAGCUAGUUGGUUAGGUAACGGCUCCCCAAGGCGACGAUAGAUAGGGGUUCUGAGAGGGAUGUCCCCCACACUGGUACUGAGAUACGGACCAGACUCCUACGGGAGGCAGCAGUGAGGAAUAGUGGACAAUGGUCGGAAGACUGAUCCAGCCAUGCCGCGUGCAGGAUGACGGCCUUAUGGGUUGUAAACUGCUUUUGUAAGGGAAGAAUAAGGAGUACGUGUACUUUGAUGACGGUACCUGACGAAUAAGCAUCGGCUAACUCCGUG
rnacentral:rRNA from 1 species